CGCCGCAGUCCUCACUUUGAAAACAUGAAAGAGGCACUACUGCACCUGUUUUAUGCUCGCAGUAGACACAUGUUUAUAGUACGAUAAAUUAAUGAAACAGUUCAGGUUGUAAAUGAAACUGUCCAUAAAUUUAAAGUCCAGCUAAUGGUAGUAUCAUUCUUUAAUGGUAGAAAGAAAAAAAUAAAGUGUGUCAAAAUGACGAAUUUCAAAUUUCUUGGUUUACAUUGGGAAAGCUAUUGAGGCCCUCUUAUUGGAAUUUAUGUCGACUUUCGACAAAAUAAAGAAACGAAUAUACAUAUUAUUAAUAUCGAUUUGCGACAUUCUAUGCAUGGAAUAAAGAUUAUUCAACAAACAUUAACUUAGGUGUUGUCUAAUAAUUUGUCAACGAUAACAGAAAUGAAAUAUUCAUUCUAGAAAAAUUAAACGUUCCUAACCUAAAAACGGUAUUUUUUUCAAUGGACAUAACCUAAUAAUAAGUGAUAUUAUAGGUUCAAUAUUGGACUAUCCGCUUACAAAGUGAUAGCGGUAGAGGUAAUAUCGUCUAUCGUAUCAACAAUGAUGAUUUUGGCCUUCCAAAUUUGUCGUAUUCGCAGUGGAAACACAUUUUCAGCAAUUACGAGGAAAAGCCGAAAUAAUGGUACACUGGUCGUUCGCAGCUGUCUUGAAUCCGCACAGGCUUAUGAUAUAAUAAUUGAGGAGAUAGGUGCAAUAAAGUGUAAUGAGGUCAUCCCGCUACAGUGCCCCCUCGUUAACUUUGCACUUUAGCAGCCCUAAUAAAGACUCAUUUCUGUCCUUACACUGUACUACAGCCCGGUCACAACGGACAAAACUUCGAGAAAGAUGAACAGCGAUGAACGAAAAAUUUGUCGCAUAGUCAUCAAUUGUUUUCAAACUUAUAAUGAAGCUUUAAUCUGCUACCUCAAAUGGUUUACAAGAUACUGAACGUCGAGAUUUGAAAAACUCGUUCUUGUUUACAUGUUAUAGAAUCUUUAAUUGUUAUGGCUACAUACGUAACAAUAUGUUUCACGAAUAGUGUAUAAUUUUAAAUAUGAUGAUCCCCAAAUUGUAAUCCGAGUAAAGAAAAUAGUUAAUUCGUAUAAAUUUCCUUUGCGAAAUGAGUUUUCUUAAGAAGAUAGAAACAUUUCAGAAAGCUAAAAUCUGAGAAGAUAUAAAAAUUGCUAUUCAUCAAACUGACACAUGUACACGUGAUAACGGUCACCGUUCAUGAGAUACCAUAGAGAUACACACGUCGAGUGCUGGGAACCUGGCACUCGUGACGUCAUAGGGGCAGAACAGUUGCUCCGAGAAGUCCAAUUGGGAGUCCGGAAACGGCUCUUCGUGCUCUUUGUCGCACGACUCGAUAAGUGUGCGUGAGCGCCUGAGCGAAUCAUGUACCAGAAUCGAAAAUCCGUGUGGGCGAGGCGUGUGCCUCCGAAUCGGACCACUCAGACGAGAGUGCCAGGUCGCCAGCACUCGAAAGUACAUUAUAGGCAUGUGUAUGGACAUUGUAACAGAAGGUAGGUUCAUUCGGAUAUACAGGGUGUCCGACAUUAAUCCCUUGACCUACAAUAUCCUGUUAGCCUUGUGACGAAAAUUUUAAACUAAAUUCGAUAAAUCUGAGUGUUAUUUAUUUUGAGAAAUAAAUCAUAGGGCAAGAGGUCAAAUAAUACCGGGAAUUUUUCGAUCAUACUCGUAUAUUUUUUUAUGUGAUAAAUGAAAUGGGAGAAAAUCCAGACACGUUCAUACACAUAGAAUUCAAUGUACUGGCAUUUACAGUUUUUUGUAAUUACUUCGAAAAUUAACAGAGGAUGACAUUUUUGCAAGCUGCAGUAUUAUCCAAUGGAUUUUUAUAUUGAGGUGAAGGUUUUUCUAUACAGGGAGUAUUUAGUAACCGGGGCAAGCUGUAACUCUAUUCCGGAUGAAGCCAGACCAAAAUAUCUAUCAUAUUACAAUACCAGGUUUGUCGUAAAUGUAUUCAUGCAGUUGUAAAGUGCAAAUUCACUUUUUAAAUUGAAAAUAUAAAAGAAGUUCAGAUAUUAUCAUUGGAAACUAAAUAUAUUUCGAGAUAUCAUUGUUUUCGAUGACCACACCAUGCUUUUCUUUGUUAAAUAUCGCGACAUCAUAAACUUUAACACAUAUUUGCAACGUACUAUAGCAGUGCUCGCUUUAAUUUGAUAAAUUCGAAACCGAGCAUUAAAAUUUACCACGAGCAGGGUGGCAUUUUUCUUUUAAGAGUUUCCAGAACUGAUUGUAGCACAAUUUGACAAAGCGAGAGUAGUCAUUCGCGAAAAAAGCGAAAGGAAUGUAAAAAAUAAUCAAAUAAUAAAAAAAAUUUCCAUUUUACUCAUUUUCAUUUCACCUUGUCACAUUUAGUACCAAUGGAUUAUUGAGAUAUUUUAUCGGCUAAUUUUGUCGACUUAUGAAUUAUAAAUAACGAAAUUAAAUAUACUACGUUUACUUGGAAUCGAUCAAAUUGGUCCCAUUUAAGGUGUGUGGGCUUAUUUUAAUCGGAAGAAUCUCAACAAUUCAUUAGCAUUUGAACAGUUAAAGUUGAAAUUAUCAUAACUGAAAUUUUCUUUACCACAUGAUUAUUUUUUACUUCCUAUGCUCGCAACAGCUCUGCGAUAUGCGUCUAUCCUAUUCUUCUUUAUUACAAUGGUAUUUCCUUCGGUACAAUGUGGCAACUAGCAAUACAAAUAAUAAUUGAAUAAAAAUUUAAGAAACAUCGAAAAUGGCGUGAUUAAUUUUAAAAUGAAAAAUCAAAAACAGUUCGGACCUCAAAGGAUUAAUGAUAAUGUAGACAUCCUCUACUUGAUAGAAUUUCUAUAUACGUUAUUUAAUUCAACUAAAGUUUAAUAUAGCACUUUAAUUAUGUAUUUAACUCGUCAAAUAUCAGACAAUUUCACGAAGCGAAAUACAUAUAAUGGAAAAAUGUAAUAUCAACUUAUGUAACUGAUUGUAAGCUACGUGAUUAUGCUGUGCACAUUUAUGUUACUUAAUGU